AUAAUAAUUUUUAACAUGUCAUGUGCAUUGGAAAUCCCUGAGGCAAAUGUUGGAAGGUUUAGGUUGUGUUUUAUUUACUUUGUUUCGUUUUAUCCAUUUUUUUUGCUCGAGGACUAGCAAAAGCUAAGUGUGGGGGAAUUUGAUAGGAGCAUAUUUAUGCGACUUAGUUGGCUUGUUCUUGUGCAUUUAUGUCAUGUUUCCUUAGUUAUUUUAAUGUUUAAAGUCAUUUUCGUGUGUUUUCAGAUUUUAUGGACAAAGUAGGCAAGAAGAUGCAUUUUAGAGCAAAAUGGGGCUUGGAAUG
rnacentral:lncRNA from 1 species